rnacentral:rRNA from 1 species
CCUACGGGAGGCAGCAGUGGGGAAUAUUGGACAAUGGGGGGAACCCUGAUCCAGCCAUGCCGCGUGUGUGAAGAAGGCCCUCGGGUUGGAAAGCACUUUCAGUGAGGAAGAACGCCUGGUGGUUAAUACCCAUCAGGAAAGACAUCACUCACAGAAGAAGCACCGGCUAACUCCGUGCCAGCAGCCGCGGUAAUACGGAGGGUGCGAGCGUUAAUCGGAAUUACUGGGCGUAAAGCGCGCGUAGGUGGCUUGAUAAGCCGGUUGUGAAAGCCCCGGGCUCAACCUGGGAACGGCAUCCGGAACUGUCAAGCUAGAGUGCAGGGGAGGAAGGUAGAAUUCGCGGUGUAGCGGUGAAAUGCGUAGAGAUCGGGAGGAAUACCAGUGGCGAAGGCGGCCUUCUGGACUGACAAUGACACUGAGGUGCGAAAGCGUGGGUAGCAAACAGGAUUAGAUACCCUAGUAGUC